ACCACGAUAGCUCAGCUGGUACAGCAUAUACACGGCAAGCAGAAUGUCGCCGGUUCGAUUCCGGCUCUUGGUG
rnacentral:tRNA from 1 species